CCUACGGGAGGCAGCAGUCGAGAAUCUUUCUCAAUGGGGGCAACCCUGAAGGAGCGACGCCGCGUGGGGGAUGAAGGGCUUCGGCUCGUAAACCCCUGUCAUUUGUGAGCAGGUGUGAUUGUUUAAGAGAUGGUUACAUAGAUAGUAGCAAAAGAGGAAGGGACGGCUAACUCUGUGCCAGCAGCCGCGGUAAU
rnacentral:rRNA from 1 species